GCUGGGUGUGGUGGCGCACGCCUGCAAUCCCAGCAGCCCUGGAGGGUGAGACAGGAGGAUUGCAAGUUCAAAGCCAGCCUCACCAACUUAGUGAGAUCCUAUCUCAA
rnacentral:sRNA from 1 species